GAAAGAGGAGUGGCGGACGGGUGAGUAACACGUGGGUAACCUACCCAUCAGAGGGGGAUAACACUUGGAAACAGGUGCUAAUACCGCAUAACAGUUUAUGCCGCAUGGCAUAAGAGUGAAAGGCGCUUUCGGGUGUCGCUGAUGGAUGGACCCGCGGUGCAUUAGCUAGUUGGUGAGGUAACGGCUCACCAAGGCCACGAUGCAUAGCCGACCUGAGAGGGUGAUCGGCCACACUGGGACUGAGACACGGCCCAGACUCCUACGGGAGGCAGCAGUAGGGAAUCUUCGGCAAUGGACGAAAGUCUGACCGAGCAACGCCGCGUGAGUGAAGAAGGUUUUCGGAUCGUAAAACUCUGUUGUUAGAGAAGAACAAGGACGUUAGUAACUGAACGUCCCCUGACGGUAUCUAACCAGAAAGCCACGGCUAACUACGUGCCAGCAGCCGCGGUAAUACGUAGGUGGCAAGCGUUGUCCGGAUUUAUUGGGCGUAAAGCGAGCGCAGGCGGUUUCUUAAGUCUGAUGUGAAAGCCCCCGGCUCAACCGGGGAGGGUCAUUGGAAACUGGGAGACUUGAGUGCAGAAGAGGAGAGUGGAAUUCCAUGUGUAGCGGUGAAAUGCGUAGAUAUAUGGAGGAACACCAGUGGCGAAGGCGGCUCUCUGGUCUGUAACUGACGCUGAGGCUCGAAAGCG
rnacentral:rRNA from 1 species